rnacentral:SRP_RNA from 1 species
CCGUGCUAGAUGGGGAGCUAGCGGUGCCCUGUAGCCUACAAUCCGCUAUAGUGGGAUCGAAUCCCUUGCCGAGGCUGGUUUUUUUCUGGCCUGUGUUCUUGCAAGUGGUGUUGAAGGUUAGGGCCCUGUGCAAAGAGCGCCCUGUGAACCCCGUCAGGACCGGGAGGUAGCAGCGGCAGCAGGGAAGCUUCUUGUGCUGCAGAUCAGCCUUGCCUGAGCUAACUACAAGGAUAACGCAGGGAAAAGACAGUCGGAGCGAGGUGCACGG